rnacentral:rRNA from 1 species
AUACGGAGGGAGCAAGCGUUAUUCGGAAUCACUGGGCGUAAGGGACGCGUAGGCGGGUUUGUAAGUCAGGUGUGAAAUCCUACAGCUCAACUGUAGAACUGCACCUGAAACUACAGACCUAGAGUAUGGAAGGGGCAGAUGGAAUUAGUGGUGUAGGGGUAAAAUCCGUAGAUAUCACUAGGAAUACCGAAAGCGAAGGCGAUCUGCUGGGACAUUACUGACGCUGAGGCGUGAAAGCGUGGGGAGCAAACAGGAUUAGAAACCCCAGUAGUCC